UCUUAGACAGCUUGUCAGAAAUGGUGAGAUUGAUGCUGCUAUGGUUAAACUCCGGGAGUGGUAUCCCCAAACUGUACAGGACGAUAAAUCGGUGGUUUGUUUCCUCCUGCACUGUCAACAUUUUAUUGAAUUA